rnacentral:rRNA from 1 species
GAUGAACGCUGGCGGCGUGCCUAAUACAUGCCAGUCGAGCGAACAGACGAGGAGCUUGCUCCUCUGACGUUAGCGGCGGACGGGUGAGUAACACGUGGAUAACCUACCUAUAAGACUGGGAUAACUUCGGGAAACCGGAGCUAAUACCGGAUAAUAUAUUGAACCGCAUGGUUCAAUAGUGAAAGACGGUUUUGCUGUCACUUAUAGAUGGAUCCGCGCCGCAUUAGCUAGUUGGUAAGGUAACGGCUUACAAAGGCAACGAUGCGUAGCCGACCUGAGAGGGUGAUCGGCCACACUGGAACUGAGACACGGUCCAGACUCCUACGGGAGGCAGCAGUAGGGAAUCUUCCGCAAUGGGCGAAAGCCUGACGGAGCAACGCCGCGUGAGUGAUGAAGGUCUUCGGAUCGUAAAACUCUGUUAUUAGGGAAGAACAAAUGUGUAAGUAACUAUGCACGUCUUGACGGUACCUAAUCAGAAAGCCACGGCUAACUACGUG